GACGAACGCUGGCGGCGUGCUUAACACAUGCAAGUCGAACGGAAAGGCCCUGCUUUGUGGGGUGCUCGAGUGGCGAACGGGUGAGUAACACGUGAGUAACCUGCCCUUGACUUUGGGAUAACUUCAGGAAACUGGGGCUAAUACCGGAUAGGAGCUCCUGCUGCAUGGUGGGUGGAAGUUCGGCGGUUGGGAUGGACUCGCGGCUUAUCAGCUUGUUGGUGGGGUAGUGGCUUACCAAGGCUUUGACGGGUAGCCGGCCUGAGAGGGUGACCGGCCACAUUGGGACUGAGAUACGGCCCAG
rnacentral:rRNA from 1 species